GGCUCUUUCCCGAGUUCCCCCUGUUGUUGCUGCCCCUCUUGCUUCCUCUGCGCUUGGUUCGGAAUCUGCUGUCCUUCAGAAUCUUCCUAGGUUUGUCUUCUGUACUUUGAGUCCUUCUCAGUUUUUUCCCACCCCGGUUUGGAUUUCAGGUUUUUGUUUUGGUUAAGCAGCUUGCAACCUCUACGGUUUCCAUCUGCGACUUCGAUUCCAUCUACCUCAGGUGUUGUGCGGGAUGUCCCUUUUUUUAUUAUGUGUUGUAAGUGUUUUCCUUCCCCAUGUUGUUUUCGGUUUUGAUAGACCGCAUCAUCUGUUUUGUUGUUCCUGUAUUAUUACUUCAUUCAGGGUCCCAGUCGCAACUUCUUCCCAGAUAAUUUCUGAUCCGUUCCAUUGUAUUAAUUCUUCUGAACGUCGUUCCCUAGGCCAACGAAUUGCAAUUUCUCCUCAGAUUUUACACCCAACAAUUGUGUAUUUGCAAUUUCUCUUCGGAUUCGACAAUUUUGCUUUUGCCCAAGGUGAGGCUUAUUUGUAAUUUGUAAUUUGCUAUUUACAUUUAUUCUUCUACUAUGAGAUACGUUUAUUUGUAAAUGCUCAUUUACAAUUAUUUCACUACUGUGGUUUCAUCAUCAAAUGAGCUUCCCUUUGUCGUGUGAGUUUUCAAUUUACAAUUUCCAAGGUCAGUAUUCCAUUGUCAUUUGCUAUUUAUUGUUUUGUUCUGCUAUUUAUAUAUACUCCAUUAUUCUUCUCUCAUGAGUUCACUUUCAAAUUUAUUUGAUUUUCCAAAUUCCUCAAAAUAUUGAUAUUGUAUUUCUCUUUCAAAGUAAGUCCUUCUUCCAAAAAAUUUGCCCUUAGUUUGGUAAUAAUGGUUUGACAAAACUGAAAAGCUUAGCCAGUUAUGAUUAGUGAUAGACGAACGAGAAAAAUGUUCGGCUAGACAAAAACACCAUGUUGUAGUAGGAUUUAGUAAUUACUUGCCACACUAUUGACCAUUGAACUUGAUCGUGGACAUUUCCUUAUUAUUGAUAUAAAAUCUCACCAUCAUUUUAUUUAAUAUUGCAAAUAUCUGCACGCACAAAGGGAGUGGACUGGACUGGGAGCAAUUGAGGUAUGUCCUAUGUGACUAUGUCUCCCUACCCCUGAUCGCAUACAUGUUUUGUAUAAAAGCAAUGAGGAAAAGAAUGAAACUAGAUAAUAGGUCUGUAACCAGCUACAAGAGUUGCUAGAUGCACAUUAAUUCCUUUUGGUGCAAAAUAUUAUCUCAACUGACAAGAAAUGGCUUCUACGAACUGAAGACGAGUUGAUCAACAGAUAGCUUUUCGUACCCCUGCUCUCUUUAAGGUCAAUUCAAGCCCUAUUGGUCAUGUUUUGGCCCUUCCCCUUAUAUACUUUUCUCAUAGCAAGGUAUUUUAAUGUGAGUUAUAUGUCCAAGGCAUUUCAGCAUUCAUUGGCUAGGUAUGCAUCCCUGGUCAUGUCUGCCAAGUCCCUGUCGAAGACAUUGUAGUUUCAAGGCUGUGAUCUUUGGCUUUAGAUAUGUAGCACAGGUGAGGUCAUGAGAAUUGAUUAUGAGUUCCUGUUGCAUUUGCUAAGGCUCAGAUAGCUGCUGCCAGAGGCUACAAACUUUUGGCUUGAGUGAUUGACGAAGCAACGUCUGCCCACUAUAGACUUGCCAAACAUUUGUGGGUGUUUAGCUACCAAAACAAAUAUUGACUAAAAGGUAACAUAGAUAAACUAAUAUGAUUUAAAAUUCAUAUGCGAACAAAGAUUUAGUUUACAAGUGAUUACUAUGUUCAGGAGUUUGUUCAAAAUUGAAUUGUUGUCAUCUGCUACAUAUUGUAUGAGAUACUAAUCUAAUUUGAUUGUCAAAUAGGAUAAUGAUUUUCUCUGUGGUCAUGAUAUUCUAAGCUUUUUUAAGAGACCUUCAUUUGUAAUGUUUUUUUAGCAUGAUAUAUACAAGCUGCCAAUGGGUAUUCCCUUCGCAUGAAGCAAAUCUUAUUUUUCACAGUGAAAUCUACCAUUUAUUUUUAUACUUCCUCAUUGCUAAAUGAUUUCUAAAUUUUAUCGUACAGAUAUAACUAUUAUGGAACAACAAACGGAGGUAGACAUACAUAGACAAUUCCAGCGACGAGUUGUGGUAUGUACAUUCAGGCCACAUUUGUGAUCUCCUUUUCUAUUGGAUUUGAAGAAACCAGCCACAUAAAAACCUGUUAUACUUUUCUUCUAUAAUAGAUGAUUAUGAUGAUGCUGCAAAUUAACUGUCUCUUUUUCGACAUCAUCUCCAAAUGGGUAUCUAUCAUUGGUGGACUUAUUACAAUACCAAGUAGAUUAUGGAUAUACUUUUUCAUUGAUUAAAUUGUUCAUUUGGGGUCUAACCUUGAUUAUGAGAAUUGAGCAACGAAUGAUUUUUUCAGAUAAAUGCAUCUACAAGAGAUGAUGGGCUAAACAUUAAUGAUCAUGGUCAUCAGCUUGAGCAUGUUCAACCUAUUAUUGGUUCUUCUCCGUCCACUUCCAUACGCAUCUAGGUCAUUUAAGGUUCAUGUCGUGCAGGUAUGUCGAGGUUGUUUUCGGUAGUGGACUCAUGUUAUGAUUUUGAGCACGCGCGUCUUCUUAUUUUUGUAAGCAAUCUAAACUAUUCAUGGAUGAAGUAAUUUGCCAUAUUGUUAGUUACUUCUCCUACCUAGGUUUAGCAGUCCAAAAAUGCUUAAUCGACAUUUACUUUGACCCGCCUUUGAUUUAAAGUAUCCAAGACACCUUCCCCUGUGGCUCUCUGUUACCUGCAUUUAAGGUUAAGCCAUGGUGAUCAUAUUGAGCCCUGUUAUUACUUUUUGUUCCUGAUUCCUUUUUUUUCCUAUACCUAUGUAGUACUUUUCUUUCUUUAUCUCUUGCAACAGCACACAACACAUUGGCAAGGAUUGGUUUUUCAAAAUGUCAUGUUUAUUUAGAAUAUUCCAUUCUCCACCAUAUUUUAUUUAAAUGUCUGGUGUAGCUCGGUUGGUCGAAACAUGUGACUUUUAACCCACAAAGUCGAGCGGUCAAGCCAUUCCUCUAGCAUUUGCAUUUUUUUUUUGAUAAGUUUUGAUUUUUAACAUUAUGUGCAUAAUUAGUUGAAGGAACUACAAGGUUGGAGAUUUUGCACCCUAUCCCCCCCCCCCAUCAUGUGCCUUGAUCAUUGAAAUAUUUACACGUAAAUAAUAUUUAAUUUACUUCAUUUUUUAUCAAACCCAAACGAUUAAAGAUUUGUAAUCUGUGUGUUUAGACUUUAGAGUGCCGAUACCGACCUAUGCAUUAUUCUGAAUUCUGACUAAAAAGCAAGUUCUAUAAACUUAUAAAAGUGCAUUUCCAGUCAGUGAAUUGUAAAAACAGAUUUUCGGCAAAUUUCUUUUUACCUGGAGUCAUUUAAAUUGGUCAGUAUCAAUGCUAGAUGUUAACCUUGGUUUAGUUAAAAUGAGAAUGAGUCCUUCAAAUUGAGUGCUGAGACUGAAUUUUGUUUGAUUACAGAUUACAAGAUAAAUAACUAUUCUUCAGGUUAAUAAAUAUUUGCAUAGUUAUAUAUACUGUCAUCUGCCACAUUCACGUAAAAAAAUUCAAUGUUGGAGUUCAAGCUUUAUUGCUUUUAGAUAAGAUUUCUUCCAAAAAUCAGGUUUUCAGUUAUAGGGUUUUACUGAGCAUUGUAUUCACAACUUCUUCUCCCUGCUGCAAUGAAUUCUUUAAAAGGUAUGUUGUUUGCUGUUUCCCGAUUGAUUAGAUGAAUAUUUUAUUGCCGUUCAUUUUUUAUGAUGCAUGAAACAUACAUAUUCAUAUAAUGGGUUAUUGUUGACUAUCUAACCAUUUUGAAUGAUUCAUCAUUGGUUAUUGUUGUGGAAUGGGACCGUCAAUUUUUUUUGGUAUAGUUUUCGAUUUUUAGAGCACUACAUAUAUGUGAUAUUCUAUCUGUGAAAAAUAUUUUUUUGACAAAUCUCGGGAAAAUAAUUGGCUCUUUGUGUAUACGUAUUGGAUUUCCAUGCCGAACCCAUUUGCAGGUGCUAUCAUACAGAUACAGGUUUGGAUCAGGCAGCAGGAUCAUCAGAUAUUUUUACAAAGGUAAUAGAUUAAGUUAAUUAUAUGCCUUUCUAUUGUUGUUGUUCUUUUUUUGGAGGACGUCAAUGAAAUAUCAACUUAUUUAUUUGUAUUAGGUUGAUUUGUAUCCACAUAAUCAAAUAAGUCAUUUGGUAUCAACUCCACCGCUUUCUUGACGAUCUUUAUCAUAAAGAACAUGUGGGCAGAAGGAAAGAAGUGAUUUUCGACCUCUAUCAGUGACAAGAUUCUUUCCACAACGUGCUUGAAGAGAACGAGAAGGAACUAUUUCAUUAUCGACUUCAGUCUUCUAUUAUUCAACUUCAGAGUCUCUCUCUCUUUCUUUUUUUGCGUUUUCUCAAUCUCUCACUCUCCUUCUCAUGUCCAAACAUAGGUUUCCAAAUAUCUCAUCUUGAUUUUUAAAAGGAUUAUAUGUGUUUGAAUUUUCCAUUGUUUGUGUUGUAAACAUAUGUUUUUUUUCGCAGGAAUAUGCAACAGAGACACCUUUGACGGAUAAAUCAUCAUCAUCUGGAGAUGGAAAAAUAUCACCUACUACAAUAUAUCAUCCGUCUGUAAUUCUGGUAAGGGUUUUUUUCCCCCUUUCUUAGCAAUAUAAUGAAGUUUUUGGUAAGACAAAUUUCUUAAAUUUAUUAAGGUUUUGCUUUUUGAUGAUUUAGGAUCACGAAACUGGAAUUUGGUGUCAGCUCGAAGAAAGAGACCUCAAAGGGCAUCUGAAACUUAGCUGCGACUUUUAGUCUCUCUUCCCUCUCCUAUUAAUUUCCAAUCAUUCCCUCACCAAGGAGGUCCAACAAAUAUAAAAUGGUAGGAUUACUUUUAUUUGUCAUAUAUUUUUCUUUGUUUUUGAAAGUUGGAUUGAUUACCAAUUUCAUUUUUUUUAAACUCUCAGAUUGAUACUAUGGUAUUUCUGGUAUGCCACAGUUAAUAGUUUUGUUUCUUCUUCAGGCAUACACACAUGUUGCAUGCUAUCAAAUGAACUUACAACUUUUAUCUUGCUUUGUUUGUAGUUGAUUGUUUCAAUCCAUUAGGUAACAACUAUAUUUCAUGUCCUCCACUGAGUAAGAGGAAAAAAAUUCCGCCAAAGGAUUUACAACAUUUUCCCUUAAUGAAUUUUUCUUAACUGAGCAGCCAAGUGGAAGAGCACUUGAUGGUAAAAUUGUAAAAAUAGGCAAGACAAAUACCACAAUUGAAACGUUUGGGCCAGUCCUUCGAAGAUGGAUUCGCACGUAGUCAAUGCUAAAAAGGUACAUUCCUGAUUGAUUUAUAAUGUUUUAAUAUAUUUUGAUUUGUUAGAGUUUUUUUUCCCUGAUGCGUGAGAGUCUAUUACAAGUUCCAGAAGUUUAUUUAUAUAAUAGUUAUUCCCCCAAUGCUUUAAAUUUUAGGCUCAAAACUUACCAAUUAAUAAGCUUAGCAUUAUUUUUCAAAUUGAAGAUUUUAGUGGAUCAUUGGUGUAUAAUGUUGUUAUGAUGUAGUAAAGAACCAUUUAUUCCAAUGAGCAGGACAAGGCAAUUAUCCUUGAUUCUGAAUAUUUUUUUGGUUUUUCUUAAGGGAACACAUAUCGUUUCCAACGCCCGAUGCUCAAAUUUAGGCAACCUAUUUCAAUUAGGCCUUUUUAUCCUUAGUCCAUCGACCGGUCUGUAUUCUCAAACUCCGAAGGCAUCACGUUUACUCAGGAAACGACACAUCUAUUCUUUCUCACAUAAUCAUUGUUGUAGUAGUAUUUGCUAUUCAUUAUUUUUCUAUGAUUGAACCUAUCUUUACAGGACGAUGAGUCUUUUGAAGACUACACGCCAUUGAGCAAGCAGAGGCACACGGUUUUUACAUUACUAAAUUGUACCACUUGCCCACAAUAAUUGAUUUAGUAGUCCGAUUCGAAUCUUGAUUCUGUAUCAGAAGAGGAGGUCACAACAUCUUCUUCCCCAGCCAGAAAAGUGGUCUUCAUUCUUAGUUUCAUUAUUGUUAGGUGUUAACUAACAACAACCAUGUCAGCUUAUGAUAUUGUCUGAGAUGUAACACCAUAUCGGUUCCAAUAGCUUGGUUUAUCUUCAUAUUACCAUAUGAUGAACUUUGUGAUAUAUUUGGUUUUAGUACUGUGACAAGGAAGAAGAAAUACACAGUGGCUGUAGGUUACUAAGUGAAUGGCAGAAAGAAGAGAUAUUAAGGUUGUCCAAUGCUGCAGGUACUGAUGCUGCAUUGCUGCUGAUAAUGGUUGGAAGAUGUUGACGCUGCUGAACUUAUUACUGCUUCUAAAUUGUGUUUCUUUACCGCCCCGCUACAUUUUUAGUCCUGACUGUUAGUUUUCUUUUAUGUAACUCAGAAUGUAUAGGAAUGUAAAUUUUCUUACCUUGAAUAUUAAUACUAUACUUUUUCAUAAUAACUCUUGCAGAGAAGCAUUCCCAGCACUAAAUCUCCACUCAUACUCACAACAUCAGAACUUGAUAAUCCAUUUUUUAGUAAUAACAGGUCACAUUUGUGCAUGCAAAAUGCACCAUAAUUCAAUAUACAGCUGACAUUUGAAUAAAACACGGAAAUCGGACUUCAUAUAUUCCAUAGAAACCGAAAACACUCCUCCCUCUUCUCAGACUUCAUAUAUUCCAUAGAAACCGAAAACAUUCCUCUCUCCUCUCUGCUUCCUAUUUCAAAAGUCCAUCGUCUGAGUCCAUUUUCAUAUGUAAUCAACUCCCACCAUUCCCGCAAUAACAAUAGAUAUUAGUUUUUUUAUAUUCCCAUCAACUUAUUUCUUUUAGUUCUUUAGCUAUAUAUUUAUUUCAAUUUCACGUCCACCGUAUGACCUCCAACAUUCUAUAUUUACAAAUUCAAUAAUCAAAUUCGUAAUAGACAACUUCAUUGCAACAUCAAUAUAGUUGGGAAUUAGUUCUAUUAUAUGUACAUUACUGCAUAACUUCUUCCAUAUAAUAUAUUCAUUCAGACAAUUUACAAUCCCGCAACAACCCUAGGAGGUCUACCCGCAAGUGCCGAAGGCACGGGUCACCUGCUAGUAUAUAGAUAGUAUAUACUUAAGAUGACCCUAAAUACCCAAAAAAUUUGUGUCUGCAAAUAUCUACAGUAAAAUGCCUUUAAAUAGAAAAGGUUAAUUUCGUCAUUCACUUCCCUAUCUCCAAAACCUUCAUCUCUUCUCUCUUAAACAGUUAAACCUUCAUCUCUUCUCUCUCACUUCCCACCUCCAUAAAACCUUCAAUGGCGGCGGAAAAUGACGACAUCACCCUUGAAAACCCUAAUCCACCAUCAUCACCAUUACCAUCGUCACAACCAUUACUUUCGAAGAAUGCACAGAAAAAACUCAUAAAACAAAAGAAAUUUGAAGAAAAGAAACUCCAAAAGAAAGCAGCAAUUAAAGAAGAAAAACAAAAAGAAGGAGAAAGAAAAAGAAAAGAAUGGGAAGAGAAAUUAUCAAGUUUAUCAGAAGAAGAAAAAUUGAAAUUGAUAGAAUCAAGAAAAGAAAUGAGGAAAGAAAGAAUGGAGAAAAGAUCAGAAGAAAAAAUUAAAAAGAUUGAGAAAAUGAAUAGAGCUAAAGAAUCUGGUCAAAAGAUUGUUCUUGAUCUUGAAUUUUCUGAUUUAAUGACUUCUAAUGAGAUUCAUAGUCUUGUUCAGCAGGUUAGAUUUUUAAUUUUUAAUUUUUAUUUUGCGCGACUUUUGAUUAUUAUUAUUAUUAUUAUUUAUAGUUAAUGUAGGAGUUCAAGUGAUAAAUCAAGAAAUUAUACAAUUUGACUGUAUGUAUAUGAAUAUUUGUCGAAAGAAUUUAGUUAAUGUGUAUAAGUCAAAAAAUAAAAAUAUUAGCAUUAAAGCGAAGAGUCAGAAGAAAUUUCUAAAGAUUACUCUAUAAUUAAGAGAAAACAGUAGUUAGAUCACCUCUAUUAUGUCAAAGAUAAAGUAAACAUGAUGAAGAAUGGAUUUAGGUAAAUUGUUAAGAAAGCAAUAGACUAUUGGAGUUCGAUUGCCUUUUUAGCAAUUUACUUGAAGUUAUUCUUCAUCGCAUAUUUGUUCUCUUUGACAUGGAAGAAGUAAUUGAAUUAAUGUUUUUAUCUAAUUUUUUAUUUGUAGAAAUUUUCUCCUAUUCUUAAUAAUGAUGCUAAUGUUUUUCUAUGAUCAAAAUUAUAGCAGAGACUUCUAAUAAAAACCAUGAAUAACUAAUAUGUUGGCUAGAAUUGAGGUUUUUAGAUGGUGGUGACAAUAAACAAUUUAACCUAUCUAAUUAGUAAUUAUCCUUAUCUUCAUCAUAAAAUACAUUAAUGUUGAAGUGAAGGGUAUGAAGAGAUUUCCAAAGUGUACUCUAAAAUUUAGAUAAAGCAUGUAUUGAAUUACUUGUCUCCUGUCAAAAACAAAUAAGAUGUGAUGUAGAAUCUCAUUGGGUAAGUUGUUGAAAGUUGAAAGCUUUCCCUUUGUUUGUGUCAAUUGUUCAAUCCUUUGUUCUCUUUUUAAUAAUAUACAUUGUAGUCAGUUUUAUAUUGGUGUGCGCGAUGUCCUCUUGAUGAGAAGAACUAGCAACAUUGAUGGCAUAGGUUAAGUGAGUGUAAGAGUAAGAGAAAGAGAUUGGUUAAAAUCCAUUGCGAAUUGAAGAAGCUUGUAAUCUAAGAGAAAAAGAGUGUGAGAGAUUCGAACUGAUUAGUAAUGAUAUUUCGAAAAGAGAAAAGAGUGAUAGUGAGUGAAAUCUGAUCUCUAAAACCCUAAUCUCUUAGUUGCUUGCGAGAGUGAAAGGGUCAGAGUAGUGACUAGUGAGAGACUGAGAGUGAGUUUGAUCUCUAAAACCCUAAUCUCUUAGUUGUUUGUGAGUUGUGAGAGUCAAAGAGUGAGAGUGACCGAAUGAGAGUAGUGACUAGUGAGAGAUUGAGAGUGAGUCUGAGCAACUAAAAGAUUAGGGUUUUAGAGAUCAUUACCAAUCAGUUCGAAUCUUUUUCUCUUAGAGUACAAACUUCUUCAAUUCGAAAAUGGAUUCUAUCUAAUCUCCUUCCGCUCACUCUCACUUAUCCUCUACCACCAACGUUGUUGGUUCUUCUAAUGAAGAGGACAUCGCGCGCGCCAAUAUAAAAAGACUGCAAAUAUUUAUCGUUCAAGAACAAAUGAAGGAAAGUUUUCAACAAAAGAAAUGGGCUUUUAAAGUUCAGAGACUAGAAGAUAUGAAUAAAACCGUAAGUAAGAAACAUUUAGUAUUAAAUAUUGUUGAUUUUAUUUAUUUAUCAAAUAUAACUGUAAGUUUUAAUGGUUUUCUAUCACAUUAUUAAUAUUACGACAUAUUAUUAUCCUACGUUAUGACAUCAAUCUAUUCCAGUGUGUUCCAUUUUUAACUCUCAAAGUUAUAUACAGUUAUAUUUUCAUGCCCUUGCUGCAGUGGUGUACUAAUUUUACAAUAUUUGCCAUAUUAUUGUUGUGUCUGUAUGGUACCCAAUAUUACUUCUAUCUACGCUUCUUUGUUACUUCUCUCGGGUUUAUGUUCUUUUAUAAAUUUUUCUGUCUUUUAUGUGUAGAUAGAAAGUCUUGGUAUUGAUGUACACUGACUCAUGAUGGAUUAGUGUGCCCAUAUUUAUAUCACACCUUAUUAAUGGAAUAAUCUGUUUAAUUGGUAAAAAAGAAGGAAGAAUUGACUGUCUGUAGUUGUAUCAGCAGUAUUUUGGUUCAAUUAACAAUGCCUACCUUCAGUUUGUAAAUUUUUGAUGCCAUUGAAUUGUAAAUACCAGGUGGUUGUCAUACACAUACGCUUGGGCAUUGGUGCAUAUCUAUCUUCCCAUGUUCACACAACACUAGUAAUUUUCAUUGUUCACUUGCAUUAACCUGAUCUCUUCACUCCUAAGACAGUGAUGCUGACUCAGCAAUUGUCUUAGAAUGUUUCUACUAAGAGUAGUUAUUUCUAAUGUCUCUAACUUUUUAAAUUUUAGUUUCAAAUUACAUACCUAAUUACUAAUGUUUGCUGCAGAUUAUGUAUUGUUAUGCAGUGAAUGGACGAUGUAAUUUACCAGCCAAUCUCUGGUUAACUGGAUGUGGAGGAGAACUACAAACACAACUACAAAGGAUCCCUGGAUUUGAUAAGUGGAUGAUUGAGAAGGAGAACAGGUCAUAUAUUGAAGCCUUUGAACAUCAGAAGGAAAAUCUGGUUUAUCUCACGGCAGAUGCAGAAACUGUGUUGGAUGAUCUUGAUCAAAAGAAAAUAUACAUCAUCGGUGGGUUAGUAGAUCGAAACAGAUGGAAAGGGAUAACUAUGAAAAAAGCAAAUGACCAGGGGAUUUCAACCGCAAAGCUUCCUAUUGGAAGUUUCUUAAAAAUGUCGAGUUCUCAGGUAGCUAAUAUUGAACUUGUCAUGUCCUUAUUCACAAUGAAUCUGAUAUUCAUACAGUUAUAUCUAAACGUACUUAUAUUAUGCAAAAAAAAUUGUGACUUCUCUCAUUCUUAUUGACACCUUCAUUGUAUUGAUGCUAGAAACUUUUCCAUGAUUAAACUUGAGCCAUGAUCUGUCAUAUUAUCUUUCUUCAUUUGAAUUGGAUGUAGAACACUGUUUUGUUCUGCCAGCUGGAUCAACAAAAAGCCUCUUUCAUUAAUAAAAAUAAUAAUUCUGCCACCGGGAUUAGAGUACACUGGCAUCACUUUAUGUUUUUUCAUGGUUAUAUGUGAUAUUGAUGUUGACAUAUGAGGAUUUUUAGCCCAAGUUUACUGGGUAGCAGGGAUUUCCUAUGGUCAUCAACUCAUCAUCUAAUGUAGCGCACAAUACUGUGUUCACCUGAUGAUCUGUGGUGCAAGCACAUGAUUUUUCGAUUUAGUCCCUUGUUGAUAUUUUAUUUUAUAUCACAGAUGGAUGGUUACAGCCAUCCUGCGUGUGUGCAAUGGACAAGCACAGCCACGAUACAUUUCACCACCUUUUGAUUGGUUCAAAAAAUUUCUUACAAAGUUGUGAUAAGAAACUUUUGGUAGACAGGUGCUUUGGCAGACAUGGUUCAAUCUGCGAAGUGUUAUUUCAGAAAGUAGUGUUUUUUCAUGCAAUGAUAAUUUCAUAAUUCUUGCCAAUCAUAUAGUUUCCUUUUGCAAUAUCCUUCAUGAAUAACAUGUUCUGAUAUAUUUGGGCUAAGCAGGUUCUCACUGUGAACCAAGUGGUUGAGAUCCUUCUCCAGUUUUCAGAAACAAGAGAUUGGAAGACUUCAUUCUUUCAGGUGAUUCCUCAAAGAAAACGUUGUGAAGCUGAAGCAGAAGCAGAAGCGGAAGAACAAGAGGAUGAUGCUGAUCAAGCUGAUAUAAAAAAGAAAUGUAUUCAACAACCCUCGUCUGAUGAUGAGGAUUCGCCAACUUGAGCUUGCUUGUUUAACCUAAUAAAGCACAAAUUUUUUUUAUACUUUUGGACGCUCGAGUUCAUUAUUUUUAUCAAGGCAAAGGGUCAGGUUUUCUUAAGAGUCACUGUUUUCUUUCGUAUUUCAAAAGUGGUACAGUCUACCGUUUUCAUUUCAAACAGGCAGAGCUGUGCAUCAUAAGUACCUAGACAUCAAUUAUGACUGAAACAUGGUAUACUAAUGUGAAACCAUAUAGCAAUUUCAUCUAAAUACAGAGAUUAAAUUUCCUAUACAACAUCAUCAAUUGCCACACAUCUUUGAGUGGAUUAUUUUGGUAGAUCGGAUGUGUGAAUGUGCUUGGAGCCUUGGAUGCUGCAGUAAUAUAAUAAAGUAGGCUUUAAUUGAAUCAACGGGCUUCCAUAGCAUAGUGGUAGUGCGUUCGCUUCGUAAGCGAAAGGUCGCGAGUUCGAUCCUCGCUGGGAGCUAUGCUAUGUAUCCAUUUUAUUUUACUUUUUUUCUUUUUCCUGUGUUUUCUAAACUGUUUGAUGAAAUUCCCCACAGAAAAUAAAGUUCAGAGAAAGGCACAAAUGUAAUACACAAACACUUAAACUUUUUAUUCAUUAAAGAGAUUAAAGAGUUUAUCUCCAUCAAACCUGAAUUUUUUUUUUUCCCAGUGUUUUCUAAUCUGUUUGAUGAAAUUCCCCAAAGAAAAUUAAGUUAAAAAUAAAGGCACAAAUGUAAUAUACAAACACUUAACCUUUCAUUCAUUAAAGAGAUUAAAGAGUUUAUCUCCAUCACACCUGAAAUAUUUUUUUCCCUGUGUUUUCUAAUCUGUUUGAUGAAAUUCCCCAAAGAAAAUUAAGUUAAAAAAAAAGGCACAAAUGUAAUACACAAACACUUAACCUUUCAUUCAUUAAAGAGAUUAAAAAGUUUAUCUCCAUCACACCUGAAAGGAUUACACACUGACAGUAGUACGUAAACAUAAACUCGACGACAGAAAGAAAAAAAAAACACAUAUACAUGAGAUCUCAAUGGAUCUCUUUUGACACUGCGUGACAACUUCAUAACAUAACACACCACCAUCCUAAUAAACCUCCUCAGCCAAAUUCACCCAAUCUUCCCCAACACAUUAAUACUCAUAUCAUAGAAGAAAUCGUCUUCUAGAUCAUCUAUAAUGUGCAUAAGGAUCAAAGUAACUCAUGUUGUGGCCUUGACCCUGCUGGUUCUGGUUCUGGAGCUGGUUCAUAUUCCCCCCGUGUUCCUGCUUGAAGUAAGGUCCAGGACCAAUUGGUGGAGCCAAUACACCCUGGUGAGGAGAAAUUUGGAAAGGUGGUGCAGCAAAUCCAACAGCACCCAUUGGUUGCAUUUCCACAGUACGUUUCACCAAUUGAUCAGACCUUGAACGCUCAUUUUCAAAUUCACGGUAGCGUUGCAUAAAGAGAGUAAGAGGAGCAAUGUACUCAUCGAAACCAAGUUUGCCCAUAGCCCAAAGUACAUCUUCAGCAGUGAUAGUUUUGCGUUGUUCCUUCUGGCAGCGGUCAUUAGCUUCACUAGUAAUGAAGCUGAUGUACUCAGAAACACAUUCCUGAAUUGUUUCCUUGGCAUCGUCAGCAAUCUUUGCAUGAGGUGGAAGGAUCCUACGCAUAAUGCGAAUCACAUUUGCUAUUGGCAUGUAGCGAUCCUGUUCGCGCACAAUGCAAUAACUGUCAUGAUGACCAUUGUCCUCACCAGUGCUUGAGUGGUUCUCCAAAAGUUGUUGCACCUUCACUGUAUAAAAUAUAGUUUCGCAAAAUUGGGUCAAAAUGAGCGCCAAGUAUAUCUAUUAAUCAUACCAAAAUUGAGUCAAAAUGCGCGCCAAAUAUAUAUCUAUUAAUCAUACCAAAAUUGGGUCAAACGCGCCAAAGAAUGCAGAUUUGACCCACAUGGGGUUUUCUUGUGGGUCAAUUUUGUAAAAUGGGUACCCAUUAACACAUCUACUAGUGGUAGUUUUUUAAUGACAAAUAUAUCCCUACUUCACUACAAAGGUCAAUAAAGUAAUUUCAAAUCAGAUAAAAAGACAAAGACGCAUGCGUUAGUCUUACGUGAGAAUCUGGAGCUUAGCAUGUAACUUUGUCUUUUAGAAGAAAAAAUUAUCUAGCGAACGUGGUAGUAAGAAUCUUAUAUGACAUCACUCCUUUUUUGUCCAUUUGAUUUAGAAGUUACAACAAAUCAAAACUUCCACAUGAGUCCAUCAUUCAUAAAAGACAAAAACUUUGGUAACAAAAGACAAAAUCAAAGAAAGCUGUUUUUUUAUUCAAAAACAAUAAAAAAAAUCUUAACAAAAAGACAAACAUGGUAUGGUAGUAGUAAUUAAAAUAAGUCAAAAGUCAUGUAAAAAGUAAUUAAUAGUGAAGAAAAAAAUUCACAUUCAUUGGACCUAGCUUUCAUAAACACCUUAUUGGUGAGUUUAGUCUUCUUCCUAAUAAAUGUAAAAAAAAAAAUCCUAUAUAUUUUUUUUUAUAAAAUUCAAAUUUUAUUGAUAAGCUUAACGAAUUACACAAAAGUAGAGGACAAACGCGCUACAAACUGCGCGGCAAGUUUUGACAGAUACCAUAUUUUACCAAAAAAAAAUAAAAAAAUACCAAUUUUAUUAAGCAUUAAAUUUUAAUUAGAACCAUCUGAUUAUCAAAAUCUUCAUCAUAUCAGAAAAAGGAAAGAAAGAUAGCUAGUCUAGGUAGGGUCUAAAUCUUAAGUGGGUCAUAACACCCUGCAUGUUUGACACAUGUGUUAGAACAAGGGGUAUGAGAUUCAAAAAUAUCAUGUCUUCUUUAACACACACACACACACAAGAAAUCCUGCAAAAAUGAGAAGUUUUCUUGUUAAAAAUACAAGAUCUAGCUAGAAGAACAAAAAAUUGAGCAGAAAUCAUACAUAUAUUGUAGCUAUUUUUAACACAAAGAUCAGAUCAAACACAUAGAAAAACAUCAAAGGAAUCACAGUAUACCAUCAAAGCUAGCAUUACAUGCAAUGAAAAGAUGGAAGAAGAAAAGAACAAAAAGCCCUAAAAACAAAGCACCUCUUUCUCUUUUGAGUUGACAAAUCUUGUAAAGGAUCAAGAUGUGGUAAUGGCAAAAUGUAGAUGAGAAUUUAAUUAAAACAAUGGUGAAGUAAAUAACAUUUGCAUGUAUGAAUUCAUCUAAAAUUAAAUCAAUGGUGCCUGCAUGUAAGAGAUCAAAAUCAAAAACAAAUGAAAGAUAUGUAAAAGAGUGAUAUAUAGAUGAUGAGUUUGUUUAUGAAAGAAGAAGCAUUUUUAUACCAGAUUUUGGUACAGUUGGUGGCUUUGGAGGUGGAAAUAAACCAUUGAAACCUCCUCCUCUUGAUCCUUCCAUCUCUAGCUAGCUAGCUCUUUCUCUCUCUACUUUCUCUCACUUCAAGCUAAGGUGAUUGUGUUACUAGUUGAGGAAGUAGGUGGUAUUUAUAGAAUACAAAUACUAUUCCAUGUGUCAACUGGCGGUGGAAACAAGGAAACUGGUUUACUUGGUGGUAACACACUACACACUACUAGCUAGUAUAGUCUUCUUUGGACCUUGGUUGGACUCAAGAAAGUGUGUGUAAAAUUGUUACAAAAUUUUGUGUAACAUCUCCACGUUUCCAUAAUUUACCACUUGUUUCUUGUUUAGUGGUCUAUCAAGAUAAAACUACCAAAUCAAGAUCACCAAUCUUUGGCAUCAUUGUUUCAUGUAUUGCAUUGGUGUAACCAACAUUAAUGUUGUAUUAUGAAUGGUAUAUACAAAUACUCUAUACAAGAAAAUGUAUUUACAAAUGGGAUACAACAAGUAGUUUAGAUUUUGAAUUGUAUUGAAACCCUAGAUUUGGAAAUUGAAUGCCUCUAGUUUAGGAUUUAAUUUAAGAUUGGGAUGUUGGGACUACUUUAAUAAAGAAUUUUUAUCGUUACGCACUUUUUUUAUUUGUUUGGAAAGAAUUUGCUUAGAUAUUGUGAAGAAUGUACAUUCGUGGUUUAGAUUUGCCUUGAUACUUUCAUGACGAGUGUCAAAAUGGUGUAUAAGUUCCUUUUAAAAUUAGGUUAGAUUCGCUUAAUUAUUCACAAGCCGCGUGUCACAACUCACAAUGGCAUAUAAGUUUUGUAUAACUAUUCGACAAAAAAUAACAAACAUAGUACUGCGAAUACUAUUUUCAUAGUUUCUUCAUAGUUUCGUGGAUCUUUCAAUACGUGUCAUAACUAUAUUGUCGGAAUGUACUUAUUUCACUAAUCAUAAAUUUCUUUUUCCCAUAUGCCAAAGGUGGUUAAGUUGAAUCUAUUCAUUUAUAGUUAAGACGACUGUCAAAUUGGUAUAUAAGUUUCUCAAAAAAUUAGGUUAGAUUCGCUUAAUCAUUCACAUGCCGCGUGUCACAACUCACAAUGGUAUAUAAGUUUUAUAUAACUAUUCGACAAAAAAUAACAUAGGUAGUAGUGUGAAAGUUAUUUUCUUAGUUUCGUGGAUCUUUUAAUACGUGUCAUACGUAGAUUGUCGGAAUGUACUUAUUUCACUAAUCGUAAUGUUUUUUUUCCAGAUGCUAAAGGUGGUUAAAUUGAAUGUAUUCAGUUAUAAUUAAGACGAGUGUCAAAUUGGUAUAUAAGUUUCUCAGAAAAUUAGGUUAGAUUCGCUUAAUUAUUCACAAGCCGCGUGUCACAACUCACAAUAUAAUGGUAUAUAAGUUUUAUAUAACUAUUCGACAAAAAAUAACAUAGGUAGUAGUGCGAAAGCUAUUUUCUUAGUUUUGUGGAUCUUUCAAUACGUGUCAUAAGUAUAUUGUCGAAAUCUACUUAUUUCACUAAUCAAGAGAUUGUUUUUUUCAAAAGCCGAAGGUGGUUAAAUCAUACUUAUACUUAUGACGCGUGUCAAAAGAAUUUGUGGAAGUUUUGUAAUAUUUGCCUACCUAAAAGUUAUUUAUUUGCCGCAUAUAUGUAAGUUAUGAAUCUUUCGAAAGAUAUUCAACAUGUUCUUAAAAAUUGCAGAGCACAUAUUACAUCUUCUUCUUCAUUGGCAAAAUAUUUAUAAGUGAGACUAACAAUAGGGUGAAAUUUUUUUUCCCCAUUUGGAAAGAUUUAAAUUAGGAUUUGGCCCCCAUAUUUAGGUUAUUAUGAUUGGCUCCUUUUUCGCCUAUUUUCAGUGAAUCCCCAUUUGUCUCAGGGGUCAAUCCUACAGCAAUGUGCCUAAAGAGCAAUCCCUAAAGAGCCAUGGUCUGCUCUUCAAUUUCCAUGCCCUGCACCAUAGAGAAUGGCCCAACAAUAAUGAGUAUAGCGGCGGACUCGGCAGGUUCAUCCUUUGAGGAAAUGAGGCCUCGGUAUUCUGUCAGGACCCAGCCCACUUCAGGUUUCGUUUUGUUGUUAUUAAUACCUGAUUAGCAAGCAAACAAAAUAAGCAAAAGAUAAUCUCUCUUGUAAUUUUCUAUAAUUUCAAUUUUGCAAAUGGUUUAUAUAUGUGGAUCCAUGCAAAUAAUGUCAAAUAUUUACGUCACGCCAAACUGAUCCUUGACACGUGGAUUGACAAGUGGCAUCUUGAUUUCCAAGUGGCACCUAAGCCAGAAUUUACAACAAAUAGAUGAAAAGAAAGAAAAUAAAUCUGCAAAAGGUCUCAACAUUUCUUCAAGAAAAACCUCUUAUAUUCUCUCUUCAAGAAGAAGAAGAAGAAGAAGAUGAGGAUGAUGGUUCUUGCAAAGUUCAUUUUUCUUGCAAUGUUUUGGUUAUCAUCAAUCUUCAUUGGUAGCAAUGCUGGCAGUGGUGUUGGUGAUGAGACUGCAGUGAUGAAGGAUUCCAAAAACAGUACCACUACUACUACUGUCAGUGCUUCUGCAGCAGACAAUAUUCUCUGUCAAAAUUGUUAUAACAUCAUGUGCCCACCUCAAUGUUAUGCUAAUGUUCCUCCACCAUCACCACCUUCGUCGACUUCUCCAUCACCACCUUCGUCGACUUCUCCAUCACCACCAUCACAGCACCCACCUGGUGGAUGCCAACCACCACCACCACCUGUACAAGGCUGCCAAAACGCACCACCAUCUCCUUAUGGAUCUCAACAAUCACCACCUUAUUCACCAUAUCCUUAUUCUACUUAUCAGCCACCACCUACUAAUUACUAUCCAUCAGCUGCACCUAGUUUGGAAACUUUUCCCUCAACUGAACUCAUAAUCACUCUUUUCUCCUCAUUUGUUUUCAUGCAUCCCCAACUUUUCUGAUCGUCGUCGAUGUCUUUUGUUUUUGGCCUAUUGUAUUUAAAGUAAUCUGUUCCCAGAAACAUUUGUGUAGUGACUAGUGAUCAUCAUCAUCAUGUAACCUCUUUUUUUUUUUCUUUGCUUGGUAUAAUGUAACCUCUUGUAUCAACAAGCAUAAGUGAAUAAACAGUGGCCAUGUUUUUUUGUUUUUUUUUUCCUCAAUGAACGUGUGUUUGGUUGAACUUUUGAAUGUGCUGUGUUUGAUCUUCUUGCAAAGGAGACAGAAACAAUAGUUAGAUCUUGGAAUAUAUUGUAAAAAUCUGUCAGAUAUGCACCAUUAAUUAGUCCACAGACCACAGUGCAAUUUUUUUUUUACUGUCAUGUUGUUUUGUAUAUUUUCAAUCUUGAGAUUAGAUAAGAUCAAAUACACCCUGGCUAUCAAGCUUUUCAGUUUAUGAUGACUUAGCUUGAUAGCGUUUUCGGCAUCCCAGUUUCAUUCUCAUGUUAUAGACCUCUUUUUAGAUCAUCUACAUACAAGGGUACGUGCUUGAUAACGGCAAUUGCGGAAAGCUAAUUCAUGAACUCAAACUUAUCAGAUCAACAUAUAAGGGGUGCCUGAUAACUUUAUUUCCAGAUAUCACCCUCUAGGUUUCAUACAACAAUACCUUCAAUGCAACACUUCCUUAGUUCCUUACGACGAGUUGAUUCGGAUGAACCCAACACAACAGCAUAGUGAAUAGACUUCAUACAACUUGCAGAGUGAAUCAGUAAUAAAAUGAUAAUGUUUAACCCCAUAUGGAUUAAUAUGAACACUGCUAAGACACCAAAGACUCUCCAAACACUGAAUCAAUAUCCGAUUAUAUUUAGGUUACAGUUGCUCUGCAAUCCCAUUAUACCAAACAGGACUUAUGUCAUGCCACUGAAAAACGAUGUCUAGUAUAGACUUGCAACUGUAAGCUAAAUACAAUCGGACUGUCAUGCCACUGAAAAAUGAUCAGAAAAGGCUUCUGAUCCCAAGUGAAGAAGAUAACCCAAUAGGUUCAUGGAUGGAAUAUUGCAAGGAGUUUCCUGCUGUUGGGGUAAAGCUGUUAAGGGGGAUAAGUUCACCAUAAAAAAUUUGUGCAGUCAGCCUGUAAAUGGAAACCAAAUAAGAAAAAGGAAAAACAGCUGAUUUUGGUUCUAUCAUACUGGGUUUGUAGUUAGAGCGGCCGCCAAGACACAAUUAAACUCCUCAGUUCUCACAAUAACAACCUUUUGCAUAUGAACAUCUUAACUAUUAAAAUCUAGCCUCAAAAGAGUAUUCUGAUGCUAAUUCUGAAGGAUGUAAUCAGGAUUUUUAUGUAAGCCAACUUGAAUGUCAGGCCUCAGUGGCAGUAACGGCAUGUACCGUAUAGUUGCUAUGCUUUAUCAGUUUCAUCAGUCCACCAGAUGCUUAGUAUCUUAAUCUAACUAAGCAAACUGAAAAAGACAAUGAUAUGCAUCUGAGAACAUUGUACAUAACCACUCUAGCACCCCGGCUGAUUCACUUGAAACUUUAUACACAUAAUAAAACUUUCUAGCCUCAAAACAAACACCUUGGCGCCCUUUGACCUUAUCAUGUACUAGAUACUAACUUCUCACCCAACCGAAUAGACUCUUCACGUGGAGCUACAUAAACAUCCUAGGAAAAUCCAUCCUUGGAAUUCCUCUGGGCACAAGGCAACACCUAUGACACCUUCUUUAUGAUCAUUUUCGCGAAUAAAGACUGUAGGAAAAAUUCUAAGUACACAAACAAACUAGGGACAAUAUGGAAGGUAGGGGUUGAGUAGGCAAGUUCUGAAAGUUGUAAUCAAAGACUUCAGGAGAUCAACUUGAAUGUAAGGCCUCACUGGUAGUAACAGCAUUCACUGUACGGUUCUAUGUUUUAUCAUUCUUAUCAGUCCACUCGAUGCUUAAGCAAACUGACAAACAGUGAUAUGCAUCUGAGAACACUGUACAGUACCACUCCAACUGAUUCUCUUGAAACUUCCUAACAUCAUGAACUCUCUAGCCUCAAAACAAACACCUUGGGGACUUUUGACUAUUCUAUGCUAGAUAUUAGCUUCUCACACAUCCUGACUACUUCACAGAGUCACAAUAGACUCCUCACAUGGAGCUAAAUAAAUAUCCAAGGAAAAGGCAUUCCUCAGGGUACAAGGCUACACCUAGACACCACUUCUUUGUCAUUGAAUCCUGUUUUGAGACUAUUUUCUCGAAUAAAGAGUGUGGGAUGAUUUCUAAGUACACAAGCAAACUAGGGACAAUGUAUGUUCACACACUUUCCACGAACUUUAUUCAGUUGGGACUUGGGAGUGAGUGGGAGUAGGCAAGGUCAGUUCCCUAGUCUGAAAAUAAGCGUUGCAGGUGGUCACUAUGCCCACUGACCGCAAGAAGUAGUGUUACAAGAAACAAAUUGCUAUCCAUAACAAAACACUAUUUUUAUUUCAAGACCACUACAAAGAUCCAAUGUAAGAGUUUUAACAAGACUAUACCGCCAAACCUAUACCAAUUCAAACAACACAGCUGACCUGUAAAGAUAAUCCUAAUAUUGUCCUCCCUAUAUCAGUGUCUGCCAAUAGUUCUUACUUGACUUAUGACUUAUUUGCAGUCUUAUAUCUUUCUUAAAGCAAUCCAUUGAACACCAAAUAAAUAAACACAUUUGAAUAUGGUCGAUGAGACAUAUGCUCAUACGUUUGAUAAAAAAUGUAUCUACGAUGUCAGGGUCAUGUCCUCUCUGUUCCCACACUGAAUGUCUCUACAAAUUGAACAAUUUGAUAACCCUAGAUAUUUUAGCAUAAGGAUUGAUAGAAGAUGAAAUGGAUAACGUCAUAUUAGUAUACUCAUUGAUAUCAAAAAAAAAAAAAAAAAACAGCUACACCACACUCACCAACAAGUUGCUAAGUUCUCAUCAGCCAUAUAACAUACUGUAACUGCAAAUACAUUAGCUCGUACACAUCAAUUGUUGACAAAUAAACAAAACUAAACCAAAAUAAUAAAUUUCCAUUUGUCUCAAUUACCCAAUUACACAACAUUCUCCCAAGAGUGUCAAAAUAACCAAAACAAAUUACAUAACAUUAUCUUACUACUUCAACAAUCCAAAAUUCACAUCAACAUUUACCAAACAGCAAAACAAGAUGAAAAACGUAGGAAAUAAUUCAAGGAACUUGCCUUUCAGCGGCUUCAGCAACAAUCGGCAACCUAGGAAUCUGACCCAAUGCGCAAGAAGUAGAACCAUAAAUCAAAGAAACCAACAAAAACAAAAAAACAGUACUAUCUAAACUCAUUAAAAAAUCCAACCCAACCCCUUCUUUUGGAUUAAAACUUCUUUCAAUUAAAUCAGGAAAAAUUAAAAGAACAUCAAGAACAAUAGCUUGCAUAGUAUUAAACCUAACAUAUCUACUAAAAUUCCUAUUUCUAACAAUAACAAAAUAAAGUGUUAAAAAAACUAAAAACCCAUUAAAAGGAAAACUCUUAAACACACGAAUAGAUGGAAUUAAUGGUUGUAACAAAACUUGGAUUGGUGUAAAUUGAUUUAUAACAUAUUUUCCAUAUUGUAUUCCAUCAAAAAAUGGGUAGAAGUAACAAACUGCUGAGAUUAUUCUAUCAGGUAGAUCUAUAUUAUUCUUAUUCUUGUUAUUAUUAUCAUUAGAUUGUGAUAAAACUCUAAAUGAAGAAAAGGGUUUGAUAGGUUUGUUAAGUAGAUAUGAGUGUUUGAAGAAAUGGGUUUUUUUAAAAAGUGGUGAGAAAGAUAAUAGAGAAGAUGAUGGAGUUGUUGCCAUUGAUGAUGAAUUGAGAGUUUUGUUUUUUUUGUUUUUUUUUUUUUUCUUGGUUUUCAAUGACUUUAGUCCCACAUUGGUUAAAUAUAGGUUAUUUUUUAAUAAUUUAUUUUAGGUUGAAAGAUAAAGAAUUGCCGAGCUAGGUAACUUCAGCUUGUAACCCAAUGUGGGGGUAUUAAAGUAGUUAAGUUGGUUUGGUUCAGCCUCUAGUCAUGGUUUGAUUUGGCUAACCAUGUUGGUUGCCGUUUGAAACCGGCCCACCUGUUGAAACCAUGUUACAUGGUAUGAAACACCUCCACAAAAAAUGAAAUGUGGAGAGGUGAGCACCUUGGUGACAACCACCAAAGGUAAGAGGUAAACUGUGGCUUAGGGGCUG
rnacentral:lncRNA from 1 species